UGCCGAGUCGUCUAACGGUAGGACAACUGCCUUUGGAGCAGUGAAUUCUAGGUUCGAAUCCUAGCUCGGCAGCAA
rnacentral:tRNA from 1 species